CAGUCGCCGCGGUAAUACAGAGGGUGCGAGCGUUAAUUGGAUUUACUGGGCGUAAAGCGUGCGUAGGCGGCUUUUUAAGUCGGAUGUGAAAUCCCUGAGCUUAACUUAGGAAUUGCAUUCGAUACUGGGAAGCUAGAGUAUGGGAGAGGAUGGUAGAAUUCCAGGUGUAGCGGUGAAAUGCGUAGAGAUCUGGAGGAAUACCGAUGGCGAAGGCAGCCAUCUGGCCUAAUACUGACGCUGAGGUACGAAAGCAUGGGGAGCAAACAGGAUUAGAUACCCCGGUAGUCCCUGUCUCUUAUAC
rnacentral:rRNA from 1 species